rnacentral:rRNA from 1 species
AGUGAACGCUGGCGGUAGGCCUAACACAUGCAAGUCGAACGGCAGCACAGUAAGAGCUUGCUCUUACGGGUGGCGAGUGGCGGACGGGUGAGGAAUACAUCGGAAUCUACUUUUUCGUGGGGGAUAACGUAGGGAAACUUACGCUAAUACCGCAUACGACCUACGGGUGAAAGCAGGGGAUCUUCGGACCUUGCGCGAUUGAAUGAGCCGAUGUCGGAUUAGCUAGUUGGCGGGGUAAAGGCCCACCAAGGCGACGAUCCGUAGCUGGUCUGAGAGGAUGAUCAGCCACACUGGAACUGAGACACGGUCCAGACUCCUACGGGAGGCAGCAGUGGGGAAUAUUGGACAAUGGGCGCAAGCCUGAUCCAGCCAUGCCGCGUGGGUUAAGAAGUCCUUCGGGUUGUAAAGCCCUUUUGUUUGGAAAGAAAAGCAGCAGGUUAAUACCCCGCUGUUCUGACGGUACCCAAAGAAUAAGCACCGGCUAACUUCGUG